CCUACGGGUGGCAGCAGUGAGGAAUAUUGGUCAAUGGCCGUAAGGCUGAACCAGCCAAGUAGCGUGAGGGAAGACUGUCCUAUGGGUUGUAAACCUCUUUUAUGCGGGGAUAAAGGUGUCCACGUGUGGAUGUUUGCAGGUACCGCAUGAAUAAGGACCGGCUAAUUCCGUGCCAGCAGCCGCGGUAAUACGGAAGGUGCGGGCGUUAUCCGGAUUUAUUGGGUUUAAAGGGAGCGUAGGCCGGUCUUUAAGCGCGCCGUGAAAUUUUGUGGCUCAACCCUGGGGGAGCGGUGGGAACGGGAUGCCUUGAGAUGUCGGAAGGCAGGCGGAAUGCGGGGUGUAGCGGUGAAAUGCUUAGAUAUCGCGAAGAACCCCGAUUGCGAAGGCAGCAUGCCGCAGGGGUACUGACGCUGAGGCACGAAAGCGUGGGUAUCGAACAGGAUUAGAUACCCUUGUAGUC
rnacentral:rRNA from 1 species